UGAUAGAGGCGCGAAUGUCAUGAGUCAUCCACCCUUUCAGGACAGGCACCGGGGUGGGUAAAAGGGACAUUUGCCGAGGUUUCGUGUAUUCGCCUGUGGGACACGGAGCCGGGCCGUGGGAGAAUAUCCCCCGGACUGUCGCCCUGAAAGGGGCGGAGCGCUGUCGU
rnacentral:ncRNA from 1 species